GGCCAAGCAAACAAGGGCAAAGGGUGGAUGCCUUGGCGCCAGGAGCCGAUGAAGGACGCAAUAAGCUGCGAUAAGCUGCGGUUAGACGCUAAAUAGUCACUUGACCCGCAGAUUUCC
rnacentral:rRNA from 1 species